AUUAUGUUGGCAGCAUAAGAUACUAAAAUUACAACUAAUGCUAGCUCUACACGAUUAGGAUAACUUUCGGCUACGUUAGAAUACUAUCCUCUAUCUCCGGUAACGUUAUAAGUUGCUUAGAUUGUGUCGGGCCUGUUGCAAAAUAGCAUCACCAUUUUCCUUUGAAGCUCUUAAAACAUGUCACAAUAUACCCAUGUGUGUGUUUGUAUCUGUUUUCACAGGAUCAGAAUUCCAGUCCAGUCCUCCCCUAUGAAGGUGUAACGAUUACAUUGCUGUUGCCCAACAGAUUGGUGUGUCAACAGGUUGAAUUUCCUGCUGCAGAUCACCUCUUCAUUUCCUGUGGCUCAUCAACAUGAAGCCUGACUCGUUAGCCCAACUUCUUGCUGUUGAAGACUACUAAGGACUGUCCAUGUGCCCAGCUGCUUCCCUCCUGUCUCAUAUAGUCCAAAAGUUACAUUUCUAUUCAUGUUGUUGCACUUGGUAGAUGUAAAGUUUAUUCCUGUCUUGUAGUUUUAUAAUAAAUACCAAGAAUCAGGAUUGGUGAAACA